AACGAACGCUGGCGGCAUGCCUAACACAUGCAAGUCGAACGAGACCUUCGGGUCUAGUGGCGCACGGGUGCGUAACGCGUGGGAACCUGCACUUAGGUUCGGAAUAACUCCCCGAAAGGGGUGCUAAUACCGGAUAAUGUCUUCGGACCAAAGAUUUAUCGCCUUUGGAUGGGCCCGCGUUGGAUUAGCUUGUUGGUAGGGUAAAAGCCUACCAAGGCGACGAUCCAUAGCUGGUCUGAGAGGAUGAUCAGCCACACUGGGACUGAGACACGGCCCAGACUCCUACGGGAGGCAGCAGUGGGGAAUAUUGGACAAUGGGCGAAAGCCUGAUCCAGCAAUGCCGCGUGAGUGAUGAAGGCCUUAGGGUUGUAAAGCUCUUUUACCCGGGAUGAUAAUGACAGUACCGGGAGAAUAAGCUCCGGCUAACUCCGUG
rnacentral:rRNA from 1 species